rnacentral:rRNA from 1 species
GCCAGACUCCUACGGGAGGCAGCAGUGGGGGAUAUUGCACAAUGGGGGAAACCCUGAUGCAGCGACGCCGCGUGAGUGAAGAAGUAUUUCGGUAUGUAAAGCUCUAUCAGCAGGGAAGAAGAAAGACGGUACCUGAGUAAGAAGCCCCGGCUAACUACGUGCCAGCAGCCGCGGUAAUACGUAGGGGGCAAGCGUUAUCCGGAUUUACUGGGUGUAAAGGGAGCGUAGACGGUAUGGCAAGUCUGAAGUGAAAGCCCCGGGCUCAACCUGGGAACUGCUUUGGAAACUGUUAAACUAGAGUGCUGGAGAGGCAGGCGGAAUUCCUAGUGUAGCGGUGAAAUGCGUAGAUAUUAGGAGGAACACCAGUGGCGAAGGCGGCCUGCUGGACAGUAACUGACGUUGAGGCUCGAAAGCGUGGGGAGCAAACAGGAUUAGAUACCCGGGUAGC